CGGCUUUGGUGUCGCACGUUCAGGCGUCGGUUGGCGGGAUCUGGGAGGGGGAGGGGUUCAAGUCAUAGCUUCUGGCCUGAACAAGAUUGCAUGGCUGCAAGUAAUUUGAAGAUUAUGAUAUAAUCGGGUUGGAGAUACAUACUUACAUUGAUGAGAAUGAACACACUGACAGUGGCCUAAGCCAUCUGCUUUUCCUGGAAAUAGUAAUGCCUUCCAUGCCAUGGGAGGUAGAGGCUAUGCCCUUGCUUGAGAAUGGCAAUGAUGAAGAAGGACCUGUGUCGAGCGGCCGGCGUGCCGACUACGACGCGGCGCUCUCGGCCAUAGGGUUCGGCCGCUUCCACUGGUGGCUGCUAAUCACCAUCGGCUGGGCGAACGCGGCAGACGCCGUCGAGCUGCUGUGCGUCUCCUCCCUGCUGCCGGCCGCUGAAUGUGACCUGCACAUGACGCCCGAGCAGAAGGGCUACC